rnacentral:lncRNA from 1 species
AGGGUAUAAAAUAAAAUAAUCCCAAAAAAAUAAUUAAAAUGACCUUAUUACAACCUAAAACCAAAUAAUAAUAUUAAUAAGAUAAAACUUAUAAAGAAAUAAAUCGGCUACUUAUUGCAAUUAAAAGAAAUUGAAAUAGUAGUUUGGCCAUCUCCGAGUCCCUCGCAGCUCUAAACCAUCUAAGCUUAGGGAUUACCUGCACAGUUAGAAACGGGGUGAGUUUACGAAAACUCAGUGUGUAAUCCCAAUAACAAACAAACAGUGAAAACAUGGUAUCAGUACAAUCUGGGCCAAAGCCCUAUAUAGUCUUGACAUAUACUGGGCCGAAGCCUUUCGUUUAACGGUUACUGGGCCGAAGCCUUUUCAUAAAUCAUAUCACUGGGCCAAAGCCUUUUCAUAAAUCAUAUCACUAGGCCGAAGCCUUUUCAUAAAUCAUAUCACUGGGCCGAAGCCUUUUCAUAAAUCAUAUCACUAGGCCGAAGCCUUUACUGUAAACGGUAUGGCCCUUAGGCCCAUUUCAAUAUCACAUGUAAUAUCAAUGAAUGUAUGCAAGCCCAUUUCAAUAUCACAUGAAAUACCAAUGAAUGUAUGCAAGCCCAUUUGGGGAGACUACUCGAUCCACCAUCCGUUACUCUCCACCUGUACCAACCAAGCUCUCCAUGUGGGGAAUAACUCAACCCACCCAACCAAACUCUCCACUGGCAACAUAGCUGCUUUAUCAUAUAACAGGAGGCCUAGCCUCUUUUAAUAACUGGGGUAAAGCCCUUUCUGAUAAACUGGGGCAGAGCCCUUUUCGGUAAACUGGGGCAGAGCCCUUUUAGCACUUCCUCCAUCAAUAUAACCCAUAUCCCAUGCAAUAUGUUAUGUAUGCAGAAUGUCAUGCCCAUAUUUGAAUCAAACAAUCACAGUCAAGUCACUCAUAUCACCAACAUAUAUUCACAAUCAAAUCCGUCAACCACACAGUCCAAGUCAGUCACUUGCCCACAAGGGAAAAACAAUCAUUUUUCAUAUUAUAAGGGUAUUUCGUAAUUUUACCAAAUAUUAGGGUUUUCCAUGAUCAUUACAAUUGUUAAUAUUUCCGAGUGUUUAAAUAAUGAUCUUUAACCCACUUUAUCAAAUUCGGGCUUUUGGGCCCAAAACCCUUAAUGGGCCCUAUGAAUGCUGAUUUAGCCCACUAAGCCUGCUUAACCCAAAUUCUACAACAAUACUAACCGUGUUAACAUGAAACUUUUCCAAAUUCCAUUUUCUAUCAAUUUUACCCAAAUGGGCCCAAAAGCCCAUUUGGCCCAAUUCCUGCCCAUUGAGGCCCAACUUGCUAUCGUGCCCAAAAUUGAGUUCUUACCCGUUCCAUCGAUCCGAACACCGAUCUUAUCGUAUUUAUCGCAUCUAUACCCACACGCAACAUUACAAGUUCCUGAAAUACCGGUAUUUUAGCAUUUCGGCUUCUCAGAAAAUAUUAAUCUAAGCUAUUACGAGGGUUAGUACACACCUGUUACGGGUUGAAGUUGAAACGUUUCCAUAAUCAAUCACCUAUGAUAGCCACCACUUGUCACUCAAACUUAACUAUUCCAAUAUCAAUAUAUGUAAAUCCUAAGCACAUCAGUCAUACGGAACAUAAGGGCGUAUUCAUCAUUUUACCAUACAAGGGUAUUACGGUCACUUUACCCUACAAGGGCUUUACGGUCUUUUUACCUAUUAGGGGUAUUUUAGUCAUUUCAUCCUACAAGGGUGUUUUGGUAAAUCUACAAACCAAGGGUAUUUCAGUAAUUUUGUAAACCAAUGGUAUUCCUAUAAUUUUUAAAAAAGUCAAGGGUAUUUCUAUAAUUUUGUAAAUCAGGGGUAUUUUGGUAAUUUUACAAAUUGAGGGUAUUUCGGUAAUUUCUCAAACCAGUGGUAUUUUGGUAAUUCUAUCCUACAGGGGUAUUUCAGUAAUUUCACAAUUGAGGGUAAAAUGAUAAUUUUGUAAACUGAGGGUAAAAUGGUAAUUUUGUAAAUCGAGGGUAAAAUGAUAAUUCUAUAAAUCGAGGGUACUUUGGUAAUUCUAUAAAUCGAGGGUAAAAUGGUAAUUCUAUAAAUCGAGGGUAAAAUGGUAAUUCUGUAAAUCGAGGGUAAAACGGUAAUUCUAUAAAUCGAGGGUAAAAUGGUAAUUCUAUAAAUCGAGGGUAAAAUGGUAAUUUUAUAAAUUGAGGGUAAAACAGUAAUUUUAUAAAUCGAGGGUAAAAUGGUGAUUCUAUAUAUCGAGGGUAAAACGGUAAUUCUAUAAAUCGAGGGUAAAAUGGUAAUUUUAUAAAUCGAGGGUAAAAUGGUAAUUCUAUAAAUCAAGGGUAAAACGGUAAUUUUAUAAAUUGAGGGUAAAAUGGUAAUUCUAUAAAUCGAGGGUAAAAUGGUAAUUCUGUAAAUUGAGGGUACUUUGGUAAUUUUACAAUUUGAGGACAUUUUAGUAAUUUGGUAAACUAAAGUAUUCUAAACAGGGAUAACAAUACGAAUAGGCCUAAAGCCUAUUCUCGGCCCAAAUGGACCCACACGCUCGUGUGGCCCUUUUAGCCCAAAUCUAGCCACAAAUAUGAGAUUCACCUAGCUUAGUCCAAUAUUUACUACACAAUCAAACAACUUAUCCAAUUGGGCCCGUAGGCCCAUUGGGCCCACAUAGCCCCUUUCGGCCCAUCACGGCCCGAAGUAGCCAUCCUACAGCUAGAGUACUGAGAAAUACACACCUGAUAGGAGCCUGGAGUUAAUCCACGCUCCGAGCACUCUUAGCCGACGCCCAACCCAAACGAGCACGCCAUACAGCGAAAGGGAUCAG